rnacentral:sRNA from 1 species
UUUUAAAUACAUGUAUUUUUGUUUUCCAAUACAUUUGUCAACUUAAUAAAUCCUUGUGAAAUUCGUUUUUCUAAAUUAUAUUAAAAUGAGAAGAAUCUUGAUAAAGUCCGCAAGCAGCAGCCAAUAAAUCAGAAAAUCAAGUGAAUUGAUGGGUCUCUAUACAAAGCUGCCUCCUCAGUGCAUAACACACUACUACAUCAACAACAACAAUUAAAUCUGCCGAAAUAUGGAGUGUUAAAAAUAUAAUCCUGCAAAAACAAAUACUAUUGUAGUUUGGAACAUUAACUGUCGCACAGUGGGAUAGAGCCGAAAAAAACUAGAAAAAAAAUUAAAAAAAACGAAUAGAGAUAUCUUUGUAAUUCUUUUUGAAUUUUGCUGAUAAAAGUAUCCUUAAAACAUUAAAAAUAAAUUCUGCCCGAAUUUUUCACGAAAAUCCCUAAAAUACCCCUUUCGGGCAAAGAUAUU